rnacentral:rRNA from 1 species
CUACGUGGGGGGCGAGCGUUGUCCGGAAUGAUUGGGCGUAAAGGGCGCGUAGGCGGCCCGGUAAGUCUGGAGUGAAAGUCCUGUUUUUAAGAUGGGAAUUGCUUUGGAUACUGUCGGGCUUGAGUGCAGGAGAGGUAAGUGGAAUUCCCAGUGUAGCGGUGAAAUGCGUAGAGAUUGGGAGGAACACCAGUGGCGAAGGCGUCUUACUGGACUGUAACUGACGCUGAGGCGCGAAAGUGUGGGGAGCAAACAGGAUUAGAUACCCUGGUAGUCCACACUGUAAACGAUGAAUGCUAGGUGUAGGGGGUAUCGACCCCUUCUGUGCCGCAGUCAACACAAUAAGCAUUCCGCCUGGGGAGUACGGCCGCAAGGUUGAAACUCAAAGGAAUUGACGGGG